rnacentral:lncRNA from 1 species
AUUUUCUGACUCCUUCCCUUCAUAAUUCCCUACAUUUGUGACCCAUCCUGCUUCUUUUCCAGCUGUCUGUCGAUUUCCAUGUCAGAAUGGGGGCAUCUGCCAACGCCCAAAUGCUUGUUCCUGUCCAGAGGGCUGGAUGGGGCGCCUCUGUGAAGAACCAAUCUGCAUUCUUCCCUGUCUGAACGGAGGUCGCUGUGUGGCCCCUUACCAGUGUGACUGCCCGCCUGGCUGGACGGGGUCUCGCUGUCAUACAGGUAGGCCUCUUUCAUGGUUUGUUUUCUUGGUGGCUCAGGCCCAUGAAACUCCAGAGGACAUUGAAGAGUGUGACUUAGACUCAGAAGUGGUGGCAAAAUGAAAAAGUACUGAUGUUUCUCAAAAAUUCCUCAAGAUGAUCCCUUGAUUCGUGUCUCAACACUGAAUUUUAUGGUUGCCUAAACACGUUUCCAGGUCAUGUGCCGAAGAAUAGCAUCUAAGUCUACUCAAUUAUCUGUCUUCUUUAUGUCAUCUGCUUCAUUUUGCAGAGCAUAGAGAAGACAUUACACAGAGGUUCAGAAUAAUACUUAUUUUAAUCUCUAAGAAGCUAAAUUACUAAAUUCAUGCUUACUCUUUAGAAAGAACAAGGUUAUACAUAAAUACAAUUUAAGUU